rnacentral:rRNA from 1 species
UACGGGGGGGGCAAGCGUUGUUCGGAAUUACUGGGCGUAAAGGGCUCGUAGGUGGCCAACUAAGUCAGACGUGAAAUCCCUCAGCUUAACUGGGGAACUGCGUCUGAUACUGGAUGGCUUGAGUUUGGGAGAGGGAUGCGGAAUUCCAGGUGUAGCGGUGAAAUGCGUAGAUAUCUGGAGGAACACCGGUGGCGAAGGCGGCAUCCUGGACCGGUUCUGACGCUGAGGCGCGAAAGCGUGGGGAGCAAACGGG